AUUUGAAGUGCGCCCACUUAUCAUCCUAAACCCUAACCCCGCCAGUAUUUCUCCUUCGACUCUACCCUUUUAUCAAAACAGAGCACCACUUUUUACCCUUUCUUCUUAUAACUCAAAACACCAAACCCCCCUUUGCAACUGCUCACUUUCGCCAGAGAAAAAAUGGACCAGUACCAGAAAGUGGAGAAGUCGAAGGCUGAGACGCCAAGAAACGAGAAAAAGCUGAGGAUUAUAGUUCAGGGGAGAAUGAGGAAUUACAUUUCUUAAUUUGGAAUUGUGAUUUUUUUUCACUGUUUUCAUAUGCUAAAUCAGAACUCAGAGUAAUAUGAGUAUUAUUGUGCUUUUAUUUUUGUUUUUCUUUCUUCGUUGACUGGAGACUGAGAGCGAAGACUACAACAGUAGCUGAGUUUUGCUUUUUUAAUUUUUUUGUGUGAUUAUUGUAAUUAUUAUUUUUAAUUUUUUUUCCGGUCGCAGCUCUCUUUGAAGUUUAUUGACACUGAGCAAUUUUAAAUGCUCCGUGAGCUGAAACAACUUGCAAAUAAGACAUAGAGAUUUGAAAUUAGAAAAUACCCUUUUAGAUGGAAGUCCUGCAUCUCGUUUGAAAAUCUGUGAUUUCGGUUACUUUAAGUCAUCUCUGUUGCAUUCAAGACCCAAAUCAACAGUUGGAACUCCAGCAUAUAUAGCAUUGGAAGUUCUGGCGCGGCGAGAGUAUGAUGGAAAUGUAUUAUUUCAACUGUAUAAAAAAUAAAAGAAGUAAUAUCUGUGUGAAAUAAAAAAAUCUAGCUGAGCAUUCUAUUGAUCAGGUGUGCUAUUUUUGCCUUUGAAGCCUAACAUGUGAUCACAAAUAUCUAAUCCAAAGAUUUUGAAAUGCAUGAUAGUAUCUAUUCUUCCACUUCUUGGAUUUUCUCAUUUUUUAUUCGAUUUUUUACUUUAAAAAUAUAAGAGAUGUGAUGAAAUGCAUUUUGUAGUUGUCCUUGUUUAUGAAAAUUUGUAAUGCCUUAUACAUGUUGCAAGGGAUCAAGUUAAUUCUCACAUGCUUGUUAUAGUCGAGUACCUUUUUCAUUCUCUUCUUAAUUUGACAUUCAUCUCUUAAUAUGUUAAUAGAGAGAAAUUUUGAGCAUUAACCAAACUAUAUCAUGCUUUUCUGCAAUUUAAAGUUUUUCUUAGCGGCUGCGUUUUAUUAGGUGAUGAUAUAUUAGAAACUUAUAGUAGCCAAAGCUAAAAUUAGCAGACCUUGUUUGGAAACUGAUUCAGCCCAUAAAUGGUGAUUGUAAACUGUGUGAAGUUCCAAAUUACUAAUUAGUAAUUGGCCUUUGUAUGUGAAAUAACUGUCCUUUCGGAUCUGCACUUUAUUGUAUGUUCUGCACAAGGUGGGAUUGUUGUGUUGGUUGUUACUAGGGGUAAUGAGUUUUGGCAUAUGGAUAUAAAGAUCUGUGUGUUUGUGUUCUUCAGCAAUGAGAUACAGCUUAAUUGGUAUAUGAAGAGUUUCCACAAGAAAUGCUUAAAGCAAUAUUGCUUCCAUUUUUGUCAUUACAUAUUAAGCCUUUUCCACAAAAAAAUGAUGGCCUUUUUAUCAUUACAUAUUAAGCCUUUUCUACAUCUGACAUGAUGGCACAUGUAGGGUGAUUGAAAAUGAGUAUUUAGGUCUGAUAAAUGGCAUACUGGAUCAAUCAGCCAUACUGCUUUCAAGCCAUGGUUGUCUAACUUACAUGAACUGCAAAGUAGUCAAACUUUUUGUAGUAAUUUUAGGAAUAACAUAUCCUUCUUUGUUUUGAAGUGUUCGAUCUAUUUUUGUUAGCUUGGCACUGCUUAUGCUUCAUUUAGUCUUCAUACAACUGCUAUAAUUUGGUUAUCAGCCAGAUUUAUGAUUGUUUUCUAUUUUUAUUGAUUUAUGUAAUCAAUCUCAAUUUUGCUUUUGAAAAUUAAUACUAUUGUUCCUUGUUAAAAAUUGAAUAGUUUAGACAAUCAUUAGAAAGAAUGCCUAUUUGUGACACAUGGAAGAGCUAUGAUUGAGAUUGUUUGUUAGUAUAAGUUGCACAUAAUUGUUUGUUAUAUUUUUUUUUGAGCCUUAAUGGCUAUAUAUAUAUAUUAUUUUUAACAUCUCUGUUGUUUACCAAGUUUGUUGGUUUAUCUGAUCAUUUGGUUUUGCAUCCUUUAGAUAUUGGAGGUGUAGUAGAGGAUUCAAUCUCUUCAAGCUGGAAAAGCCAAGGCUUAGCACUUCUUCAAGUGGAGUGUUAUUUAAUAUUACAUUCUAUGGUCGUUUAUCUUAGUCGGAACUUGAAUUUUUGUAGAUACCUUGUGUACUAGCUUCUUUAACCAUGAUUGUUAAUUAUUACGUGUUUUGUAGCUUCUUUUA